CACGUAGGGCGCGAGCGUGUCCGGAAUUAUUGGGCGUAAAGAGCUCGUAGGCGGCCUGUUGCGUCCGCUGUGAAAGCCCCGGGGCUUAACCCCGGGUCGGCAGUGGAUACGGGCAGGCUAGAGGUAGGUAGGGGAGAAUGGAAUUCCUGGUGUAGCGGUGAAAUGCGCAGAUAUCGGGAGGAACACCGGUGGCGAAGGCGGUUCUCUGGGCCUGUACUGACGCUGAGGAGCGGAAGCGUGGGGGAGCGAACAGG
rnacentral:rRNA from 1 species